AGUCUGGUGCCAGCAGCUGCGGCAAUACCAGCUCCAAUAGCGUAUAUUAAAGUUGUUGCAGUUAAAAAGCUCGUAGUUGGACUUGUGUGCGCUGUCCGCGGGUGGCCUGCGCCCAAAAGGGCGUUUCGGUUCGGCCCCGGUGGCGCCUUGAAAUCUGCAGCUGGGGGGACGUUGGCCUUAACUGGUCGGCGACCGCACGCCGGCUGCUCGGUUACUGUGAGAAAAUUAGAGUGUUCAAGGCAGGCAUUGGGUGCAAUUGAAUACAUUAGCAUGGAAUAAUAAAAUAUGGCUCCUGCCGUAUUUUGUUGGUUUUGACUGGUGGGAGUAAUGAUUGAUAGGGACGGUUGGGGGUGCUAGUAUUGAGCGGCCAGAGGUGAAAUUCAUGGAUUCGCUCAAGACUAACUUAUGCGAAAGCAUUCACCAAGGACGUCCUCUUUAAUCAAGAACGAAAGUUGGGGGAUCGAAGACGAUCAGAUACCGUCGUAGUCUCAACCAUAAACUAUGUCGACUUGGGAUCGGCGGUAGUUUUUUCAUUAAGACACUGUCGGGACCACGGGAGAAAUCAAAGUGUCUGGACUCUGGGGGAAGUAUGGUCCAAGGCUGAAACUUGAAGGAAUUGACGGAAGGGCACCACCAGGAGUGGAGCCUGCGGCUUAAUUUGACCCAACACGGGGAAACUUACCAGGUCCAGAGAUGUAGAGGAUUGACAGAUUGAAGCUCUUUCUUGAUCACUUCGGUGGUGGUGCAUGGCCGUUCUUAGUUGGUGGAGUGAUUUGUCUGGUUAAUUCCGUUAACGAACGAGACCUCAGCCUGCUAGUGUAGUCGGCUGGAUUGCCUUUGGCGAUCCGUGAUUUCGACUUCUUAGAGGGACAAUCGACGCGCAGUCGAUGGAAGUUUGAGGCAAUAACAGGUCUGUGAUGCCCUUAGAUGUUUUGGGCCGCACGCGCGCUACACUGCUGGGCUCAGCGAGUUUUACUUGGCCGAGAGGCCCGGUUAAUCUUGUGAAAUCCCAGCGUGCUUGGGCUCGCCUCCUGCAACUGGAGGCGCCAACGAGGAAUUCCUAGUAGACGCAGGUCAUCAACCUGCAUCGAUUACGUCCCUGCCCUUUGUACACACCGCCCGUCGUUCCAUAAGAGUGAGGCAUCCGGUGAAUUCUCGGGAGAGCCUGGGCGUGGCCAGCAAUGGUCUGCUCGGGUUUGAACUUGCAUAAACUUGGUGCCUAUGAUUAGGG
rnacentral:rRNA from 1 species